UAUAAUAUUUUGACUCUUCGUCUUAUUUAAAAUGUUUUGUGAUUAAUAUUUUUAUCUUACUAGAUGAUAAAAUAUAAAUAGUAUUUUAUGCAUGACUAAUUUUUUAAGUUUUCGUAUAAAUUUUUUAAAUAAGACGAAUGGUCAAACGUUGGACAAGAAAA
rnacentral:pre_miRNA from 1 species